UCAGGAUGAACGCUAGCUACAGGCUUAACACAUGCAAGUCGAGGGGCAGCAUGAUCUUAGCUUGCUAAGAUUGAUGGCGACCGGCGCACGGGUGAGUAACGCGUAUCCAACCUUCCCCUUAGUAGGGCAUAGCCCGUAGAAAUGCGGAUUAAUACCCUAUGUUUUCCAAUGAGGACAUCUGAGCUGGAACAAAGAUUCAUCGCUAAGGGAUGGGGAUGCGUCUGAUUAGCUUGCCGGCGGGGUAACGGCCCACCGGGGCAACGAUCAGUAGGGGUUCUGAGAGGAAGGUCCCCCACAUUGGAACUGAGACACGGUCCAAACUCCUACGGGAGGCAGCAGUGAGGAAUAUUGGUCAAUGGUCGAGAGACUGAACCAGCCAAGUAGCGUGCCAGGAUGACGGCCCUAUGGGUUGUAAACUGCUUUUAUGCGGGGAUAAAGUGACGUACGUGUACGUUUUUGCAGGUACCGCAUGAAUAAGGACCGGCUAAUUCCGUGCCAGCCGCUGC
rnacentral:rRNA from 1 species